CAGUACCACCACCACCACCACCACCAACACCGUCUGACCAGCAGAGCUCUGGAAGUGACCGCCUCGUUAUUGAUACCGAGGAGGAGGAGGAGGAAAUGGGGGAGCCUUCAGGCCAGCCUGAUGUCACUUACCUGUACGUGGACUCUGAGCCGGAGGAGUAUAGUAAGUACAGUAGGAUUUUCUCAAGCCCAUUCUUAAAAGUAUUGACCAAGUCCACUUUUAUUACUUUUCAGGCAGGGAAUUCCAAACAUGUACUGUACAGUAUUUCCCUCACUGUGAA